rnacentral:rRNA from 1 species
AACGAACGCUGGCGGCAGGCCUAACACAUGCAAGUCGAGCGCCCCAGCGAUGGGGAGCGGCGGACGGGUGAGUAACGCGUGGGAACGUGCCUCUUGCUACGGAAUAGCCUCGGGAAACUGGGAGUAAUACCGUAUGUGCCCUACGGGGGAAAGAUUUAUCGGCAAGAGAUCGGCCCGCGUUGGAUUAGGUAGUUGGUGGGGUAAUGGCCUACCAAGCCGACGAUCCAUAGCUGGUUUGAGAGGAUGAUCAGCCACACUGGGACUGAGACACGGCCCAGACUCCUACGGGAGGCAGCAGUGGGGAAUCUUAGACAAUGGGCGCAAGCCUGAUCUAGCCAUGCCGCGUGAGCGAUGAAGGCCUUAGGGUUGUAAAGCUCUUUCGGGGGGGAAGAGUAAUGACUGUACCCCCAGAAGAAGCCCCGGCUAACUCCGUG